rnacentral:misc_RNA from 1 species
AAAGUCGUAACAAGGUCUCCGUAGGUGAACCUGCGGAGGGAUCAUUAACGAGCAAGGGGCGGAAAAGCGCCCGACCUCCAACCCUUUGUGUGCGAAAACCCAGUUGCCCUCGGGGCCCCCCGUCCGCGGGUGCCCCCGGCGGGCCCACCAAAAACACUGCAUCUUUGCGUCAGAGUACAUUUUUUGAAUAUAAUCAAAA